rnacentral:rRNA from 1 species
UACGAAGGGGGCUAGCGUUGCCUCGGAAUCACUGGGCGUAAAGCGCACGUAGGCGGAUUGCUAAGUCAGGGGUGAAAUCCUGGAGCUCAACUCCAGAACUGCCUUUGAUACUGGCGACCUUGAGUCCGGGAGAGGUGAGUGGAACUGCGAGUGUAGAGGUGAAAUUCGUAGAUAUUCGCAAGAACACCAGUGGCGAAAGGCGGCUCGACUG